GAUGAACGCUGGCGGCGUGCCUAACACAUGCAAGUCGAGCGAUGAAAUUUCCUUCGGGAAAUAGAUUAGCGGCGGACGGGUGAGUAACACGUGGGUAACCUGCCUCAUAGUGGGGGAUAGCCUUCCGAAAGGGAGAUUAAUACCGCAUAACAUCAUUAGAUGGCAUCAUUUAGUGAUCAAAGGAUUUAUUCGCUAUGAGAUGGACCCGCGUCGCAUUAGCUAGUUGGUAGGGUAAUGGCUUACCAAGGCGACGAUGCGUAGCCGACCUGAGAGGGUGAUCGGCCACAUUGGGACUGAGACACGGCCCAGACUCCUACGGGAGGCAGCAGUGGGGAAUAUUGCACAAUGGGGGAAACCCUGAUGCAGCAACGCCGCGUGAGUGAUGACGGUCUUCGGAUUGUAAAGCUCUGUCUUUGGGGACGAUAAUGACGGUACCCAAGGAGGAAGCCACGGCUAACUAC
rnacentral:rRNA from 1 species